rnacentral:lncRNA from 1 species
GGAAAUUCCUAAAGGAAAUAGCAAUCUAUAACAACUUAAACAUUCCUCUGCGAUCCUUGUGGCUUGCCUGAGGGAGGAAAGGUCAUUCACACACAUAGAGCAUAAAUAACCUUAAAAUCGAGUCACUGGCAACCUCUACUGAUGUCCAAGCUUCCGCUGGCCCUUGGCCACCUACACACCGUGGCUGCAUUCACACCUGUGGGCUCCAAGCAAAGCACAAACCCCCAGUUCUCUCUAAGGUCACAUGAACACAGUCUUCGGUCCAUGUGGAAAUGAGAUCACAAGACAGAUUAAAGAGGGUUCCAGGGCGAUGUCCCCAGCUUGCGCUGACUCCAGCUCAUCAAGGCAACUGUUUAUGGAAACCGCCUCUUCUUCAAACACUUCCUUCUCGAUAAUCACCAGCACGUGCGUGUGUCAAAACCUAGCCAGAUAAACCCCAGUACAGUGUCUCCGAGGUGGCUCGGCUCUAUUUGUCCUCCAAAACCUCUAUGGUUUAUUUUGGUCAGCUCGUAGCUGGCUCUGCCCUCUGACUCCAAGCAAGCUUUAUCUGUCAGAACACAAUCAAAAUAUCACACAACAGAUGACUACAUCAGAACUGAGUUUUCCAGACACACAAGUGCAGCUGGACAUACGAACUCACAGACGUUGUGACAGAUGAACAAGGAACAAAGGGAAGCCAGGCAAAAUGCUAACACUGGUGGGAAGUUUCGUGAGGAAAAGCCCUGGAUUCCUUGGAACAUGCUUUGUUGACCAGGCAGACCUCAAACUCACAAGAUCUGCCUACCCUGCCUCCGAGUGCUAGGAUUAAAGGCACACCACCACCAUUGCCUCAUUGCAUCUUGACGUUUCAAUGAGAGCUCCAUGUCUGGUGUGGGAGCAUGCUCUCUGUGAUGUCAUGGUCUUCCUCACAUCUGAAGAAAUGUUCCAGUGUGCCUGCUGUGAAGCUCAGUGGAGAUGCUGCCAUUGGGGACUUUCUGGAACAAGUGAGCGGCACAUACUUUCAGUCAGGCAAAGAAGCUUUCUAGAAAUGUGUUUGAAACGCCUUUUUUCCUACUUUUUUUUUCCUACUUUUUGCUACUGCUCCAUGACAUAAACAUCUUUUACCACAUGGAGAACAUACCUGGGGUUCACUAGAGAGCUCUGCUCUGGCUUUCGGGGGCAUGGGCGAUUUA